GCCCCUGCCCGCCCUGAGCGCCCCUGCCCGCCCGCGCCCCCCGCCAUGGAGCGCAUCCCCAGCGCGCAGCCCCCGCCCGGCUGCCUGGGCAAGCUGCCCGCCCUGGAGAGCGGAGACCUGCCCGGGCUGGACUUCGCGCACAUGUACCAGGUGUACAAGCCCCGGAGGGGAUUAAAGAGGAGCGAGGACAACAAGGAGACCUACAAGCUGCCGCACCGGCUGAUCGAGAAGAAGAGGCGCGACAGGAUCAACGAGUGCAUCGCGCAGCUGAAGGACCUGCUGCCCGAGCACCUCAAGCUGACGACUCUAGGUCACCUGGAGAAGGCUGUGGUUCUGGAGCUCACCUUGAAGCACGUGAAGGCACUGACCAAUCUCAUCGAGCAGCAGCAGCAGAAGAUCAUCGCUCUGCAGAACGGUUUGCAGGCGGGUGACCUGUCAUCGAGAAACCUCGAUUCCAGCCAGGAAAUGUUUCGAUCUGGUUUCCAGAUGUGUGCCAAGGAAAUGCUGCAAUACCUGGCAAAGCACGAGAACGGCAAGGAGCUGAAGUCGUCGCAGCUGGUCAGCCACCUGCACCGGAUGGCCAGCGAGGUGCUGCAGGGCGGGGCGGCCCGCAAGCCCGGGGACAUCCCUCCCAAAAUGCUGGACCUGAAGGAGAAGCCGGCGCCGCUGGGCGCGGCGGGCGAGGGCCACGGGAAGAACUGCGUGCCCGUGAUCCAGCGGACAUUCGCUCACUCUAGCGGGGAGCAGAGCGGCAGCGACACGGACACGGACAGCGGGUACGGGGGAGAGCUGGACAAAAGCGACUCCAAAUCGGAACAGCCCUAUUUCAAAAAGGAUACCGACCUCAAGUACGCUGUCCAGGAGAGAAUAAGCUCUAUUAAGCAAGAGACUGAGGACCCGCCGGCCAAAAGGAGCAGGCUGGAGUCGCCGCAGGACGAGGGCCCUUUUGGCAGUGACGUGAUGGGCCCUGCCGGCGGCUUCCUGGGCCCCCACGCUCACCAGCCUCCCCUGUGCCUGCCUUUCUACCUGAUCCCGCCGUCCGCCACCGCCUACCUGCCCAUGCUGGAGAAGUGCUGGUACCCGGCCUCGGUCCCCGUGCUGUACCCCAGCCUGCCGGCCUCUGCCGCGGCUCUGACGGGCUUCAUGAACCCCGACAAAAUCUCCCCCCCUCUGCUGAUGCCCCAGAGACUCCCUUCUCCUGUACCGGCCCAUUCCCCCAUCGACUCGUCGGCUCUGCUUCAAGCUUUGAAGCAGAUUCCUCCUUUGAACUUGGAAACCAAAGACUGAGCACAGUGUGACUGGUUUUACUUUUUUUCCUUUUUUGUUUUUUUUUUUUUUUUAGUUUGAGAGACUGUUUCACUUUUAUAUAUUGGCUGGACUGAGGUGUGGGGACGAGGUUCACUGUGCGUAGGAAGCUAAAUCCCCUUUUCUCUGACUUGUCAGGUAGCUUGGAGAAGGAUGAAGGAUGCGCCCAGGUUAGCGAUUGACAGCUACUUCCAAAAGAUUAAAGAAGGAUUUUGUGCUUGGCCCCUUCCCUUCUUCCCUCUCCACAUCUACAGAGCGACAGUUGACUCGGUCAGCUGCGACUCUAUUGCAAAGCUGUGAAGAAAUAUUCCAUUGGGCAGGCCUGGUUUGAGGGUCUGUGAAUACAAAAUAGAUUAAUAUAAGCCACGGUACUUCCCUGAGCGCCUCUGGAGGCAGCGGCCCUGCUGGUUUAUCUCAGCUGGGCUGCUGUCCCAGUGACCCCACAGGGUGAUGGUGGCAAUGCCACCGUGAGCACAGCAGGAGCAGGGCAGUGGUCACUGCAGGGGCAGCUAUGUCACCAGGAGGAGCAGGGUAGUGGCCACUGAGGUGGUGGCAGUGGUGGCAAUGCCGCCAGAAGGAGCAGGGCAGCGGUCACUGUGGUGUGGUGGGGGCAAUGCCACCAUGAGCACAGGAGGAGCAGGGCAGUGGUCGCUGCAGGGACAGCAAUGUCACCAGGAGGAGCAGGGCAGCGGUCAUUGUGCUGUAGUGGUGGCAAUGCCACCGUGAGCACAGGAGGAGCAGGGCAGCGGUCACUGCCUGGUCACACACAGAUCAGGCAGACAGACCCAAGACGGGUUUCUCUCCACACCUUUGCUGAUACAUAGACAUUUUUUUACAAAAAUAAAAGGUAGCUGCUGCUUGGAGCUUUCCAUGGCGUACAUCUAAUAAAUAAAUUAACCUGCGCCCUUCCUGUAACUUGAGCUGCUCCGUUGGGCCGGCUCGGGAGGAGCUGUCCCGGGAUGGCGGGGUCGGGAGGAGCCGUCCCGGGAUGGAGGGGUCGGGAGGAGCUGUGCUGUCCCCAGGGUCGCCUCUUGUGUCCCUGGCUCCUGCACUGCCGCUCCCCCG